rnacentral:rRNA from 1 species
CCUACGGGUGGCUGCAGUGGGGAAUAUUGGACAAUGGGCGAAAGCCUGAUCCAGCCAUGCCGCGUGUGUGAAGAAGGCCUUCGGGUUGUAAAGCACUUUCAGUGGGGAAGAAAGCCUUGGGGCUAAUACCCUCGAGGAAGGACAUCACCCACAGAAGAAGCACCGGCUAACUCCGUGCCAGCAGCCGCGGUAAUACGGAGGGUGCGAGCGUUAAUCGGAAUUACUGGGCGGAAAGCGCGCGUAGGCGGUCUGAUAAGCCGGUUGUGAAAGCCCCGGGCUCAACCUGGGAACGGCAUCCGGAACUGUCAGGCUAGAGUGCAGGAGAGGAAGGUAGAAUUCCCGGUGUAGCGGUGAAAUGCGUAGAGAUCGGGAGGAAUACCAGUGGCGAAGGCGGUCUUCUGGACUGACACUGACGCUGAGGUGCGAAAGCGUGGGUAGCAAACAGGAUUAGAUACCCCUGUAGUC